ACAUACGACCAUAGGAACUUGAGAACAAGGCUUCCCGUCCGCUCAGCCAUAUUUAAGCAAGUUACUGGCAGAUUAGUAGUUAGGUGGGUGACUACUAGCGAAUACCUGCUGUUGUAUGUAA
rnacentral:rRNA from 1 species